GCAGAGAUGUAGCUCAGUGGCAGAGUGCUUGCCUAUCAUGCAAGAGGCUCUGUGUUCAAUCCCAGCAGCA
rnacentral:tRNA from 1 species